AAGGUAAAAAAUUAUGCAAAUCAUGCUUUCUGGAGAGUUGAGCUACUCACUCAUUGACGGGGAAAAUUAUAUCUGGAGAUACGAGUGCUUUUCAGCAAUAUUGGUAAACGUCCAAAGAUAGUUGCAAGUUGGUAUAACUUCGUCUGUGGCAAAACUGUGUUCUCUUGGUACCAUUUUUUGGUGCGGAGAAAGGAAUGCUAAACUAGGGUGCUCAUUUUGUGGGA